GCCCAGAUAGCUCAGUUGGUAGAGCAGGGGACUGAAAAUCCCCGUGUCGGCGGUUCAACUCCGUCUCUGGGCA
rnacentral:tRNA from 2 species